GUUUUAUCUUUCUUUUCAUGUCAUUAUAGAAGAGAAAUGGGAGGAACCUCAAGAGGCCCUGCCUCAAAGAAGGACCAACUAGAAGAAUUGGAGAUGGUCCAUUGAUUGAGAGAGAGAGCGAGAGAGAGCGCACGCACAAGCCUCCCCCCUUUUAAACACAGCCUGCACCUAAACUUCUAUCACAUGAGAGAGAGAGAGAGAGAGAGAGAAUUUGUAAUGAUCUCCAUUUGAUUGAACAUGUAUUAUGUUUAACAGUGCAGCAUUCUGUAAUGUGAGCUCAUUCCAGUUUUUCAGUGGGUCUUGUCACAAAAUAUCUUUAUAACCAGGCAAGAAGAUCUAUUCGUAGCCUUUCUCAGUGUCAUGUCAGUCACAGCAGAUAGAAUUGAUACAUUGGUGCCAGUGUCUAAUUUGGCAUGAUGUUUACCCCUCCUCAAUAACUUACUUCCUACAUCUAUCACCAUCAAAUUCUAGACUAUAAAAAUUAUCUUGCCACACUCAGUCAGGAAUCAUAUCAGUGACAAAGGUUUGUCACCCUGUCCAUUUGCCAAGAUAAAUAGUGAGAGAUGUCAUUCUAUUAGCAAUUCCUGGUUGCAAUUUCUGGAGCACAGAACUGAUGAAGAGAAAGAGUAAAAUCUGUCACAAAGUUUUCAGUCAAAGGAAAAGCCACUCCAGUGUCCACAUAAAAAUAAAGGGGGUAGAUCUUCUGAAGUGGCCUGUACUGAAAAGGGUUAACAUUAUUUGUAUAAAUGCCUCUAUCUUUUUCUUCCGAUUGGACUUUCCUUGACUAACAAAAUCAGAAUGUUCCAAUUUCCAUGUGCUGUUUUUACUGGGUACCACAGGCCAUCACUCAAAGCUUCACAUGACCAUAUAGUCAUCUGCCACAACUACUGAGGAGUGAUGUCCUCAUGUGGGAACAAAUGAUGCAUCCAAGGGCAAGCUGGACAACAUCAUGGACUACAAGGCCUUGGGACACCAACUCAAGAAGUUGAGAGCUCAGGUAUUUUUCUCCAUUCUCCUGGUAAGUGGAUGGGAUAGGCGUCAUGAGACUUGCAUUGAUGCAGUUAAGCAAUGGCUUCGGAGCUGGUGCCACGAGGUGAGCUUCGGGUUUUUUGACAAUGACCCAUAUUUCUGUAUGGAGGGCAUGCUGUGGUGGGAUGGGCUUCAUCUCUCCCUUAAGGGCAAACGUAUUUUUUCUUCUAGGUUGGCUGAUCUUGUACAGCGGGCUUUAAACUAGCUUUGCUGGGGGAAGGGGCCGGUCUGAGUGGAGAGGGUGCUUCACCAGCAUACAGAGUGACAGGAGAAAGGGAUGCCCAGGUAAGCAACAAUGUCUUGGAAGUAGGGGGCCACAACAGUCAUGGGAGUAGGGGGGAGAUGUGUGCACCCUUGUAGCAGAAAGCCCCUUUUCCUCUUGCCUGCAGUUGCUCUCCCCUCCUUGAAUAUGUUUUUCCUCUUCUAUCUUUUCUUCCUUGCUCUUUCUUUCACUUUAAGAUAAGGAAUUGUGUUUUAAAAUUUGUAUGUGUGCAUUUUUUAUCUCCCCUUGUAUUUUGGUAUUUUUAUCUGUUUGUGUGCCAUGGCAUUUGUAGCUUAUAUUUUAUAUUCCUCACCUUUCAACUUUCAACUAAAUGUGUUUAGUUUCAUAAGUAAGUUAUACAUUGUAACAAUGUUAACAAGGGCAGGAAUCAAACUGCCCUUCCCUGUAUCAGGCUGGCCCCUGAAAGAGCGAGUGAAUCAGUGAUUGAAUGUAUAACAUGAUAGCAGGCAGCAAUUAACACCUAAGGAAACUGCAGAUCAACCAACGGAAGAUCUCAAUAGAAGACAAUGUAACAACUAGGAAAUCUCUAAACGUCACUGAUCAAGGGCUAGAAGCCCUGGGCUGAGUUAAUCAACACCGGGGACCAACUUUUGGGCUGAAUAUCUCCAAAUUGACCGCUCCCAGAGCCCUAUUCAAAAUUCAUCAAUGGACUCUCAAACCUGCACGUAUGUGUGGAUGACCCCUGGUGCUGACAGAUGCCAUCCAGUAGCCACUGAGGGGGGAAAUCCCACGAGGGUCAAUGACCCCUGGAUUGGGCAAACCUGAAAACUGGGGAGUCACCAAAGUCUGCCAAGGACAAAUAAAAAGCAGUGAAAAGUGACCCUCAGUGGCGCCCUCUUGAUCUCCAACUCGACCAGCACCUGACCUGUCCAGCCAGAAGGACCAGCCAGUGACCCCCUUCUGGAGGAUAACACCACGCUGAAAGAAGCCUCGACAAGAGACUGCAGCGGUUGUAGGAUAGGUAUACCUGACUAGGUAUACCUGACUCUUGUAGCUUGCUACUGUGUGUGUGCACGUGUGCGUGUGCGGGGACCAGCCCCAAGGUUUGAUUUAACUUCAUUACAGUGCUUCAAUCCACCUAAUAAACCAGAAUUUUAAGGA